CCGAGCCCCGCCCAGCAGUCGGCCGACAUUCAGCCCACGCUCCCACUUCCCACCCGCUUCCAGGGCUAGGGGCGGAGCCUGGGCUGUAAGGCAGCGAUCAGCGGAGGAUUUGAAAAAUCAAGUUUACAGCCCACUCCAGGUGAAUGUUGAUGAACGGCCUUUCUCAGGCCACCGAACAGACAGGCACAGCAAGACUCCAGGACCUCCCCAGGGAUUCAAGUUUGCUACAGCCAAACCACCUACUUUGCUCAAGAGGGAAAUUGUCCCAGUACAAGUUCUCUGUACUAGAAAUUAUGCAGAUGUGGUAUCAAACUAAACUGCAACUAAAUUUCUCUGGAGCUAAGGGAAAGCAGGAAGAGGGAAAAGGUGAGAGGGAGGUGAAAUUCACUGUGGUCUUCAUCUAACUACUGAGUGAACUGUUGGAAAAUGAAAGUUUCUGACUACUUCCUUUCCGUCCUUAAUGAACAAGAAUCACCCUGUAACUACAGAAAGGCUUUCAACAACAUCAUAAAAAUGAAUUAUUUGUUCUAGAAGCCUUUCUAUUCUAAAGGUGUUUUAUGAUGUGAAGAACAUUAAGGUCUCUGACGUUUCAUUUGACUCACUAAUUUUCAUGGCAAGGCUUAUUCUCCCACACUUUCACUUUUCACCAGUAUGCCAGUAAAAUAAAGGUACAAAAGCAACCAUCUCCAUCCAGAAUCCUCAAUAAGAAUUGAGGGCACUAACAAUUAAAGCCCUCUAGUGAUUUUUUAAAUGUUUUUUUAUUCUAACUACACUUUGAAAUUAUUGAUACAUCACAGAAAAUUGCAAAGACAGGACAAAGUGGUCUUGUAUACCCUUCAUCCAGUUUCUCCCAAUGGUUUUAUCUUACAUGAUUAUAGUACAAUAUGGAAACCAGGAAUUUGACAUUGGUAUGAUGUGUGUGUGUGUAUGUAUAUAUAUAUGUAUAUAUAUAUAUAUACACAUAUAUAUAUAUGUCUUUUAUCAUAUGUACUUUCAUGUAACAUCACUGCAAACAAGCUACAUAACUAUCACCACAAAGAUGAACCCUCAUGCUACCCCUACCCAUUAUAGUCACAUCCACUUCCCUCUCUGUGCCAUCCCUGAAUCUAGGCAAUCACUAAAUCUGUCUUUCAUGUACUUACUUCCUUUCAAGAAUGUUAUAUUAAUAGGUCCAAUAAAACCAUGCAGUAUGUGAA